GUCUCUGUAGCUCAUUUGGUUAGAGUGCUGCACCAGAAUCGCAGGCUCGAUUCCUGCCAGAUGGCC